rfam:Dipodomys ordii contig_4592, whole genome shotgun sequence.
GGAAACGUGGCUCAGGGGUAGAGUGCUUGCCUUGCAUGCAUGAGGCCCUGGGUUCGAUUCCUCAGCACCA